AACGAACGCUGGCGGCAUGCCUAACACAUGCAAGUCGAACGAGACCUUCGGGUCUAGUGGCGCACGGGUGCGUAACGCGUGGGAACCUGCCCUUAGGUUCGGAAUAACUCCCCGAAAGGGGUGCUAAUACCGGUUAAUCUCUUCGGACCAAAGAUUUAUCGCCUUUGGAUGGGCCCGCGUUGGAUUAGCUAGUUGGUAGGGUAAAAGCCUACCAAGGCGACGAUCCAUAGCUGGUCUGAGAGGAUGAUCAGCCACACUGGGACUGAGACACGGCCCAGACUCCUACGGGGGGGAGCAGUGGGGAAUAUUGGACGAUGAGCGAAAGCCUGAUCCAGCAAUGCCGCGUGAGUGAUGAAGGCCUUAGGGUUGUAAAGCUCUUUUACCCGGGAUGAUAAUGACAGUACCGGGAGAAUAAGCUCCGGCUAACUCCGUG
rnacentral:rRNA from 1 species